rnacentral:tRNA from 1 species
GGGGCUAUAGCUCAGCUGGUAGAGUACUUGCAUGGCAUGUAAGUGGUCAGCGGUUCAAAUCCGCUUAGCUCCA